GUGAUGGGGCACGCCCUCGGGAAGACAGAGGCCUUCUUUCAGAUUGCUCUGUCCAUUAAGGGUAGUCAUCAGCCAUCAGCCAUCAUUCAUCAGGGAAUGAAAUGUGGCUAGUCCAAACGGGGGUGGCUAAAGGCCUAAAAUCCACAACUGGGUUUUGAACACUUAGUGCAAAACAAGCAUGUAAAUAUCUCAUUAAUGGGUAUAGUAAAUACGGAAAUAUUUUGGCUAUAUUAGAUUAAGUUGUCACCUACUCCUUUUUUAACAUGGUUAUUAAAUAAUUUAAAAUUAUCUAUGUGCCCGUUACAGGCUUUCAUCUGACAGCAUUAUUUUGUGGUUUUUAGCGCAGUAGUGGUUUUGUUAAUUUACGUGUCCUUCAAUGUCCUACCUUUCAGCUGUGAUCCCUGGGCAGCAGAAUCAACAUCACUUGAAGUACGAAAGUGGCACCACACCUGCUCCACCGACCCCAGAUCCCCCGGGUCAGACUCUGCAGUUUAGAUUCCCAGGUGUAUUUUCAAGAAAGGAUGACCCCAUCACUGACACCUGGGAAGCCGUGAGCAGUGCAAGUGCUGGGGCCCAGCAAUGUCCCGAUGAGCUCUCUUGUGAUCCUCACGUCAGAAGUCUGAGAACCACUGAAUUAGGUGCUGAAGGCACAGACAGGGGCUGAGCCACACUGCAUCACAGUCUGGUCAGGAGGGUGACACCGACCUGCACGGACACAGGCAUCACAGGUGGGUAUGAUGCAAGAUGUGGUGAACGCUCAGCCCAUAGCAUAAAAAGUAAGAAAAUGGGCUUGGUAUGAGACCUAAAAGUUUCAAGAACUGGUCCAAGUAUUUUCAGUCGUUUUGUGGACUGAUAAAAGUAAACGCAACUCAAAUGUGUAAGUGAACGCUUAAGACACUGUGCACAGAAAGUUGAAGUCACCAGGGGAUAACCCAUAGCACAGGGUUACCAUGUCAGAUGGCCACGUCUGCUUCGGUAUAGGGGAAUGGGGGAGAUCGACAAUGUAUUAAAGCCAGUUUUUUUAAAUACAUUUAUUAACCAAUGUUAACACAUUAAAUGAAUCUAUAUAUUGCUAGUCAGAGCAGCUUACAAAAUGCCAGAAUGCAUCAUAGAACUGGACAGCCACAAUGAGUAAUUACAAUGUGCAUAGUGGCCAAGCUCAACACCUUGAUAUAGCUUUAUGAUUUGCAGAAAAAAUUUUAAUAGUGAUUCCUAAAACAAUCAGUUGUAAUUUUACCUAAAACUUUUACAAAACCAGGCCACAAUCUCUUUUUUUUAAUUUUGUUUUUUUUUUUUUUUAAACACACAGUUUUCACACUGUAGUAACUUGGAAAUGUUGCAACCGUGUCAACGGAGACAAAAAAGCCAAAGUAACACGAAUCUUACUUUCAUGCAGCUAUCAGGUAAAUAGUACAUACUCUGGAAUGAUUUUACACCAAAAAUAUUUCCACAAUACUUGCUCUCAUAGGGGUGGAUCGAAGUUUUAAAACUUGAAAAACAAUCAGA